UACGAAGGGGGCUAGCGUUGCUCGGAAUUACUGGGCGUAAAGGGCGCGUAGGCGGACAGUUUAGUCAGAGGUAAAAGCCCAGGGCUCAACCUUGGAACUGCCUUUGAUACUGACUGUCUUGAGUUCGGGAGAGGUGAGUGGAAUGCCGAGUGUAGAGGUGAAAUUCGUAGAUAUUCGGCGGAACACCAGUGGCGAAGGCGACUCACUGGCCCGAUACUGACGCUGAGGCGCGAAAGCGUGGGGAGCAAACAGA
rnacentral:rRNA from 1 species